CCUACGGGGGGCAGCAGUGAGGAAUAUUGGUCAAUGGACGAGAGUCUGAACCAGCCAAGUAGCGUGAAGGAUGACUGCCCUAUGGGUUGUAAACUUCUUUUAUAUGGGAAUAAAAUGUUCCACGUGUGGGAUUUUGUAUGUACCAUAUGAAUAAGGAUCGGCUAACUCCGUGCCAGCAGCCGUGGUAAUACGGAGGAUCCGAGCGUUAUCCGGAUUUAUUGGGUUUAAAGGGAGCGUAGGUGGAUUGUUAAGUCAGUUGUGAAAGUUUGCGACUCAACCGUAAAAUUGCAGUUGAAACUGGCAGUCUUGAGUACAGUAGAGGUGGGCGGAAGUCGUGGUGUAGCGGUGAAAUGCUUAGAUAUCACGAAGAACUCCGAUUGCGAAGGCAGUUCACUGGACUGCAACUGACACUGAGGCUCGAAAGUGUGGGUAUCAAACAGGAUUAGAUACCCUUGUAGUC
rnacentral:rRNA from 1 species